CUUCUUCUCCUUCUUCCUCUUCAUAUUCUUCUUCUCUUCGUUUCCCGUUUCUAUGAAACGGUACAAUCUCCUCGUGUAGCCUCAUGCCUCUCUAAACUCUGAGAAAUUCACCAAAUGGUUUCCAGAAACUAAAAGAAGAGGAAAUGCUGUUUUCGAGAAGAAAAGCUGCCGGAAAUGAAGAGUGCUGUUUUCGUACCGGAAGAGAUGCAGCGGAGCGAGAUUUGCUUAAGCGGAUUUCGGAGGAAGAGAGGGGUAUUUGGCGGAGAAGAGAAGGAAAAAGUCGGUUGAGAAAGUGGAGGGAUGAUAACGGAGAUGUGGGAUCACGAAAUAUGUGUGUGGGUGCGAGUAUGAG
rnacentral:misc_RNA from 1 species